AUUGAACGCUGGCGGCAUGCCUUACACAUGCAAGUCGAACGGUAACGCGGGGCAACCUGGCGACGAGUGGCGAACGGGUGAGUAAUGUAUCGGAACGUGCCAGUUGUGGGGGAUAAACUCUCGGAAGAGCAGCUAAUAACGCGUAAGACCCGAGGGUGAAAGCGGGGGAACGCAAGGCCUCGCCACAUUGGAGAGGCCGGGAUCAGAUUAGGUAGUUGGUUGGGGAAAGGGUUACCAAGCCAACGAUCUGUAGCUGGUCUGAGAGGACGACAAGCCACACUGGGACUGAGACACGGCCCAGACUCCUACGGGAGGCAGCAGUGGGGAAUUUUGGACGAUGGACGCAAGUCUGAUUCAGCCAUGCCGCGUGCGGGAAGAAGGCCUUCGGGUUGUAAACCGCUUUUGUCAGGGAAGAAACGCUCUGGGUUAAUACCUCGGGGUAAUGACGGUACCUGAAGAAUAAGCACCGGCUAACUACGUGCCAGCCGCCGCGGUAAAAC
rnacentral:rRNA from 1 species